rnacentral:pre_miRNA from 9 species
UCUCGAAAGCGUAAAAGUUAACUCAAAUUUGUAUGGAGUUGGAACGUUUGUCUACGUUUGCCGCUAGGGGCGCUGUUCCAACUGCAUACAAAUUUAAGUUAACUUUUACGCUAUCGA